AAGGCAUUUGAGUGAGUUUGGAGGUCGAAUCAAACACACCCAAAUCUAAGGGUUUCGGCGGAUUUUCGUGAAAUUGGGGCUUUUCUCGGCCAAAUUGGCCUUAGUCACAGACGCCGAUCGUUCGUGAAGCCUCGAUAUUCGUGCUAGGGAGUUGUAGCGCAAACUCCAGGUUUUAGCUGCUGAAAGUUCGUAUCGACGAGGAUUUUUGG